CGGGGACUGCACCGCGGGGCCACCAUGAGCCUGCAGUGGACGGCGGUGGCCACGUUCCUGUACGCGGAGGUUUUCCUGGUGCUGCUGCUCUGCGUCCCCUUCGUGUCGCCCGCCAGGUCUGGGGGGGAUUUUGGGGGGUCCUGGGGGG